rnacentral:misc_RNA from 1 species
AGCAGCCGCGGUAAUUCCAGCUCCAAUAGCGUAUAUUAAAGUUGUUGCAGUUAAAAGCUCGUAGUUGAAUUUCGGGAUCAAUACGUCGGUCGUGCUUCGGUACGUACUGGCGUCAUUGAUUUCUCCCUUCUGACGAACCAUGAUGUCAUUAACUUGGUGUCAUGGGAAAUCAGGACUGUUACUUUGAAAAAUUAGAGUGUUUAAAGCAGGCUCACGCUUGAAUACAUUAGCAUGGAAUAAUGAAAUAGGACGUUCGAUCCUAUUUUGUUG